GUUCUCUGCUAGAUCUCGCCGGGGUCGCCUUUCUUGCGCACUUUGGUUAUUGAUCCUGCCGAAUCGGCCAGAGCGCAGAGGCUGCGCUUCCCUGAGGAUGAAAGGAGUGGAGAAGGUGAGUAUACAAGGGAAACGGUGGUGGGGAGGAGAGGUUGAUAAAUUUCAGGAGACAGUGUAGGGCGUUCCUCAGUACCCCAGCGCUGCCC
rfam:Otolemur garnettii contig102096, whole genome shotgun sequence.